rfam:Bacillus sp. NRRL B-14911 1099999053133, whole genome shotgun sequence.
AACCUGCUUAGUGAUAAGCAGCUGAACUAAGAGAAGUCAGCAGAAGCCAUAGUAUCAACGAUUUGUUGAGAAGGGC